rnacentral:tRNA from 1 species
GGGCUCGUAGCUCAGCUUGGCUAGAGCACCUGGCUUUUAACCAGGGGGUCGUGGGUUCGAAUCAAGGCAAAUGCUACGCUUUGCAGCUUUUGCUUGGCCGAAAAUCCCGCCGAGCCCG